GGUUGGAGCCUCCUCUCCAGCCUAGUUAGUCGUCUCCAGUGAAGGAGCAUUUGCUAGCUUCACAUAGGUGAUGGAGGCAAGGCUUUGCUAGACGCAGACGAAUGCCAAAAUAAGUUGUACUCUUUGGGAAGCUCAUGUCUGUACAACAUACAGGAUUCCGGAUUGCCAUUAUUGUAUAUCGGUCUUUCAUAGUUGUUUUGCAAAGUGCUUGAAUUUUAGGGAACUCAAGAGUACAUAUUUAGUCCUCACUAGAUGGAUUUAGAGCUUGCAAAGGCAGAAGCAGACAAAGUUGAAGAUGAUGAAGAGCUUAGAAACAAGUUGUGA